GAUGAACGCUGGCGGCGUGCCUAACACAUGCAAGUCGAGCGGAAAGACGAUGAGAUUGUGCCUUUGACGUUAGCGGCGGGCGGGUGGGUAACAAGUGGAUCCUGUACUUAUAUUUCUGGGAUCAUUACGGAAAAAAGGAGACAAUACCAGCUAAUAUAAUGAACCGCAGGGUGCAGUGGAGAAUGUCGGCUUUGCGGUCUGUAUUAGCUGAUUCCGCGCUGGAUUGGCUAGUUGGUAAGGUAACGGCUUACCAAGGCAACGAUGCGUAGCCGACCUGAGAGGGUGAUCGGCCACACUGGAACUGAGACACGGUCCAGACUCCUACGGGAGGCAGCAGUAGGGAAUAUUCGGCAAUGGGCGAAAGCCUGACGGAGCAACGCCGCGUGAGUGAUGAAGGUCUUCGGAUCGUAAAGCUCUGUUAUUGGGGAAGAACAAAUGUAGAAUUAACUAUGGACGUCUUGACGGUACCUAAUCAGAAAGCCACGGCUAACUACGUG
rnacentral:rRNA from 1 species